GCCCAAUGUGCCAUUCAAACCUACAGUCCUGAGAUCCAAAGUCUCAUGCUCUACCGACUGAGCCAGUCAGGUGCCCUGAGUCCCCAGGAUCUCUUCAAUGGUUCCAGAGAGUUCUCUGGCUCAAGAUCAGCGCUGCAUCUGCCAGGCAAUAUUGAUGAUCUCAUCAAAAGUGGCGUUUCCACUGUGCUUAAUGUUUUCUUGCUUCUUCCUGUCUUUUGGUGGUUCCUUGAGGGCUUUGAUAAUCAGGGCGGAGGCAGAAGGUACCACUUCAAUCUGGGCCUGUCCGUUCUGAAUGGUCAGUUUCACUGUAAUCCUCAGACCCUUCCAAUCUCUGGUUCCCGUGGCGAUGUCAUCACUGAUCAUUUUUGGAGACAGACCCACUGGGCCGAUCUUCGGGGCCAAGGCAGACAUGGCACCGACUUCCCCACUUGUUCACCUCAGGGAACCAGCUCUGAGGGCCUCUUUUCCCAGGGGACCACCCUGGCUGCCUAG
rnacentral:lncRNA from 1 species